AGCAGUACUAGUGGUGCUGAGCAGCUAUUCGGCUGUAAAAAAGCAAGGCUACAGUUCCAGGAGGACAGCGUGAAAGUUAAAUAGCUCCAGCAGGGUUGCACCAACAUGGGCUUUCGGUACUUGAAGACAAAAAGAUGCCGAUCGCUGACAUGUGCGUGUCCGGAAAUCAGAUGCAAAGAGGCAAACAUCUACGUGAAGCAUCAGUACUGUAGGUAGGGCAAGACCUCAGCACCUCGCUAAUUGUCAGGUGCGAGGUUAUCAGCCCAACAUGUACAGAGGCCAAAGACAACUUUCAGAACGCUUAAGGAUUUUUUUUUCUCAAGAUUGUGUAAAUCAAGAAUACAGGUGAUCAGCUGUAGUAACUAUAACACCACUUCAGUUCAGGGCGAUCUGCCAUGCUUUUUUACUGUGGAAGUGUACAUAAGAGCAUGUCCAGAAGCAUGCUGCUUUUAUGCAGAGAUAGCUGAAUUAGGCUUACGCAGUUAGAUUCUCAUAGUGGUUCAUAACUUGGAGUAUGCUUAUCUGUGAUCUGAGACCGUUGUUACUUCCUAUUUCAAUUUCAGGCAAUAAUGCUGCAAUGCCUAGGAAAAAAAAAAGAUAAAAUCCUUCAUUUUUGUCACUGAAAAGGCCUGAGUGUUCGGCUGGGAGAUGGGUAUGUGGCAGUGGGCUAAAAGGCUACUUUUGCUAGUCUGUAUAUUUGCCAACGGUAUUUGAAGAGGAAACAGGAACAUCUUGUUCUCAAGUUAAAAUUCAACAAGUUGGCUUUUUCUGUUGCUCUGGCUAUACCAGAGAAUCAUGCAACAAACUUUAUCCUAACAGCGAUAGUCUCUUGAUCAGAUGCAUUGGGUCUGGAUUGUGAGUUUUAACUUUCCCCUUCUGAAACGUUAUUUUAAGUGGGCAUCUACCCAAACGAUUUCAUGGAAGCAGCAGGCAACCAGUAGUUGAUGAAUGCAGGAACAAUGAUGCGCUGAAAAAAAAAGUAAGAGAAUAAUUAUAUAAAAAUGCAGCAAUGAGAAAUGUAAAAUGUGGACCAGGAUCUGAAAAUGCAAAUACAUUUGAUUAUCAAUGAAAUAACUUUAAAUUGUUCUGGGAUGCGUGCCAAUGUAUCAAGCCUAUUAAAUAGAAAUGUUGAGCUAUGCCUAAUGUGGUAGCUGUAAACUUUGGGGAAAAAAUACUUACAAUUAAAUCAGAGCAUACAAUGAAAAAUAUGAUUUAAAAAUAAUUUCUUUUCUUAAAAAUUGUCCUGUAUUGUGGCAACAGUUAAUAGAACUAACCGAGGGUGAGGCUGGGAGCUCCAGGCGCGUUAAAUGCAGCAGCAAGCGUUAGAUUCCUGAUCUUCUGCUACAGUAAGUGGAAGCUACAAAGUGAACUUCUCUUCCCUGCGUUUCCCUGUAGAUUUCACAUGACACUUGCUAGGAUGAACUGCCUUGUGUCAUCACCAGCAUUUCUGCAGAAGGAGUUCAUUAGGGGUGAAAACACGGAGAAGUCAGGAUCUAUGCCCAGUUCACCCUGAGAUACACAAACACCACGUUAACUGGUGAAAUACAAAACCAAAGCUAUUUCUGAACCUUUCCCAUUUGUUAAACUCCUUCGUACGGAACAACAGAAGGGAAUUUGUUUUAAAUAGAGACUUUAAAACAAUGCAAAUGCCAACAGAAAACCCUGUGUUUGCAGGUGCAGCAUCUGACUGCACUUUGAACUUUUAAAUAGCCUGGAUUUUAAAUCAACAAUGUGUCUGUUGCCAAACAAAAAAGCUCUGCAACUAUCUAGGCUACAUAUCUUUGCUGUCCUUCACAUCGCAAGAUGAUAAAUCCUUGGAUUUAUCCUUUUAGGAGAACAAUAAAAUGUGUCAUUACUACCCGUGCAGCACAACUUCUCUUCCAUGUGACGUAAUUGGUUUCUCAAAGAUGCUGAUAUUGGUGUAGAGAGAACUUUGGGACUUGCAGUGUGCUGGGAGCACUGAAAUCUUUACGAGGGAAGCAGUUAAAAGGGCUGCUUCACUUGCAUAGUAUUGCCAGGAGGAAAAGAGUGGGUGUAUUCACAAUGCUUGAUUUCUUAGUGCUUACUGCUCUUUUCUGGGUGAUUGAAUAAGACUUUAAAGCUCAUUACAAGCUGAGGAGAGAAUUGAACCUUGGACUUCUGCUUCCUGAGCAAACAUUUCAUCAGUAAGCUUUUAUUUAAUUAAAAAAAAGAAAAAGGCAACUUCUUAAAGUUGGCCUUUGAGGAUCCUGAGGCAUUAUUGUGCUGGGCUGGCUGUGCUCCUGGAAAGCCUGCAGGAUUGAAACGCGCGGAUGCCAGCGAAAUACCACCCGGUCUCUGAAUUUCGGUUGGGUUUCGUUGUGGCUGUUUGGGCCUAUAAGGGUAGCUGCUUUCCUGAUUGUGCACAGAGGAACACUGUUAGGGCUUGUGGGUGAAAUUUGAGUCAGUUUGGGAAAUGCUUAAGGGAGUGUAGGUGACUCCUAGGUUUGUAUAUCCAGUCAGAGUUCGGUGCCAGAGUUUUAGGCUUGAAAGCCUUUGGUCUGCCCAAAAUCUUGAGAAGGCUCCUCGGAUGUAGCUUGGAGUGUAGCCUCCCUGAACCUCCUGCUAUCUGCUGUUUUCUCUCUGUGUAGUUUUUCAGGUUUUUCAUCUGCGCUAUGUAAUAGGAACCUCCCUUUCAGUACUUGCCAGUUGUUUAUGCCUGAAUGAGCAGUGUUUUCUGUUUUUGCUUGAAAAGCCAGUCUUUUUAGAUUUUAAUCUUUUUCACGGUCUUGCUUUGUUCAAAUGCAGCAUGUGAAGCAGGCUGAAUCUUCUGCACGCUUGGGCAAAAGCAGCACCACAACCUACCAUGGCAGAAGGUACAGAUCACUGAAAAAUGGUGAUGGAAAAGGUGUCAAAAUCAUUUAGCUCGUGUGCUGAUCUGAAGAAUGGGGCAUACGAUGGUUGUCGUAGGGAGCUCUGCUUUCUGUGGAGCUCACAACUUAAGGUACUGGGCUGAGAAGUAUUUGUGCGUCUUGAAAUAAGAUCAGGUUGCCAUUUGAGCAACGAUUGACUUGGGAAGCAGAAGAAUAACCGGUUGGAAAGGCUGGAUCUUUAGCCCAGCUCGUGUUGUAGCAGUUCUCGUAUUUGAAAGCUAGGCUUCCAGGGCACUUCGUGAAAGAGAACGUCAAACUUCAGCAUUAUCAUCUCUUAACAAAGCCCUGAUGGGCAAGGAGAAAGCAAUGCUGCUUCUGUAAGUAACAAGGGGAAUGCCAGAGGCGAGAUUUUGAGAUGACACAAAAUCUCGUGACUGCUAAGAAAACUUAGUCAUUGUUAUCUUAAAGUCAUUGUUUUCUGGCAGGUGUUUCACAGAGAAGCGGAUCUCCCCAGUAAGCUGAUUAUUUUAGUCUCAUUCUCUGAGCAUUAUGUGUUUGAAACAUGAAGAUAAUCUUACUUAAUAUUCCUUAAAAUGAUUAAAAACAAAACUUGAUACUGCUCACCUCCCGCAAAGAUGUGUCAGACUAAGUCUUAAGCUACUGGCUUACUGGAACAGACUUCAGUUGCUAGAACAGAUCUGCACUGCCAGCUGUAGACAAACCCAAUUAUAUCUUUGCUUCAAGACUUAAUGUAUCUACAGUAUUUAUUUGUUUAUUUACCAGCCUUUGCAACUUCUGUCUUCUCAUCCUCUGGGUAUUAGGUAAUUCCUUGUGUACUGUUUUAAUCUGUUUCAUCUGUUCUAAUCCCUAAUCCUAAUAACUGCAUACAUUUCGUGUCUUUUGUUCCCUUAUUUUCCUGCUCUCUUAGAGUCUAAAUGUGUCUGAUGGCUUCAGGCAAUCUCUGCAGGCUGAGGCUGUGUGAGGCAACCCAGCAGGGGCUCUGGACUUGCGAUUUGAGAGCAUACGCUGUUGUAGACAGCGUCUGGAUUUCCUCAAAACUAUUCCAUCCAGUGCUAGAAAGCUUCACCUGAACAGCAAAUGGAGAAUUCCUCUGGGCCUCUUGUGCUGUUUGUCCUAAACUGAGGCCCCUCCUUGGAGGUGACCCGAUAAAACUUCACCAGAUGUGUGGCAGCUAGGUGUGCAGAGACUUGCACAAUGUGUCACCGUACUGGAUGAUAGAUUUCCAAGCUGUUUGUAGUGAAAUACUUAAACACAUAGAUGUUCUUCGCUCUUUCACCCCUUUUUAUAGUACUGUAUUUAAACUUGUUCCUCAAGGUGGCUGAGCUAGAACUAAUUACUUCCAACAGUUUGUUCUUCAUGUGCAUUGUCCAAGUAGAACGAUGCCCGUGCAGCUCCUGCGUUGUGUGAUUGUUCCCUGUAACAGCAGCCUGAAGUCCCGUGAAUCCCGUUAGUGUCAGAUCGUACCUAAUGCUAAAAGACGGUCCCCUAGAGUUUUCGGAAAUGGUUCAAACUGAUAAAAAGUGCAGAGCAACCUUUAACGUGUGUGCAAACUUAAGGAAAUUUGUCUUGCGUGCUAAGUAAGACUCCAGUGCCUGUAUUUGGGACUUGCUGAUGUUGAGGGCAACGUGCACCUGCUAAAGUGAGUCUUCUGCAUCGGUACCACGCUAAAUAGCAAAGAAGGCAUCCCUUGUUCUGCUACCACUGCAGUAUCCUGCCCCUUAUUCUGAAGUGCUAUGCUUGUGCAUGUUUAAAACCAAUCUAAAUAUGUAUGUGUCUGUUUUGAAGACAAAAGACCUGUAGAUUUAAGGUUACCUGGAGUUACCAGUAUUUCUGCAUACUCUGAGUACAGAAAAGGUGCUGGAGCUUGAGUUCUGUAACCCAGGGAGCUGCCUUGUUCCUUCUCGACAUGGAGUGGAUAGGUCUGGGCAGCUGAAUUCCAAGACUGGAAAAAGCAAAUUGAGAAAAUGCCCACAGUUAUAGUUCUGUGUGGUGGCGGUGAUUUUUUUUACUUCUGUAAUACAUUCCUGAAUGCCCUGAAAUCACUUCCCUUAUGGGCAUAAUACUUCCUGGAUGAAUUUAUACUAGUGCUGCAACUUUACAUCUGCUUGGGAUCUGGUGUGCAGAUCACAGAGCAUGUAGCCUGGAUGAAUGCUGGGCAGUAUGAGAUAGAGCCAGUAUCCUGAAACUCUGUGUUGCUGAUUACAACUGAAGCCUUUUCAAGCUUGUGAGUGAUGGAUCUGUCUGGAUCUGUGAACAUUUCAGAGCUGAGAGAGAAGGGAGACAAGCUGUGUCAAUGCUUUCGAGGGUUUACAUACUGACGUUUUCAACAGUCACCUUCUGUCAUUUGGUCCUAGCAGGUGAAGUUUGACAGGAGCUUCUGCAUCACCUAAAACAUCUCCAGCUUUGGUGAGGGAGACCCGUAGAGAAGCAGUGGAUGCCACAGCCUCAACCUGAUGCUUGCAGCUGCAAACUGAGCCCGAGUCCUGUAGUCCCCAGCACAGGUCAAGUGGUGGUGGCUGGCUGCGCUAAGCAGCCGAUGCGGGAGGAGUUUGGGGGUGGCUGUGACUCUGCAGUUGCACCGACAGUAUUUUUACAGUUAAUGUCAGAGUUAGGUACUGCUGGAGGGGUUCAGUUAAGAUUGUAAGAUUCUUAUGCCUUAAAUAAAACGUUCCAGACACAUUGUGUCACCGGACUGCCUGUUUUGGCUGGCAGGAUGCCGGGUGUCUCUAGGUGGGGCUUCUGUAGGAAUAAAGUUUCCAUCCGCCCUCUGAUUUGGGUAUGCAUUGUAGCAUCUCUUACACAGUCGUGAGGAUCUCGUCAGCAAUUUGUGGUUAGUAUAGUUCGCUUUGCUCAUUUUGGAAUAGGAUCUUUGCAUAGCAAAAAGUAAUUAAAUCUGCCCUGCUGAAAAGUCAGGUGCUAUUUUGAGGUUUUAUUGUAAUGAAAGCUAAAUAAUUCAGAUUAAUAGUUCUGUGUACUCUGUUUUUUCAGUAAUUAAGGCAGAAUCUUUUAUUGGGUGACUUUUUUUUUAAUGAGUCAGGGGUAUGAAUUUCUCGUUGUACUGGAGCCUGAGGUAAGCACGUAGGGAAUACAGCCUGUUUGGAUGCUGUUCUUUGUUUAAAAAAGUCUUCUGUGAUGGAUGUAGUUCUGUUCUUUUUCUGGUGAUCUAGCAUAACCCAAACUUCCUGAGAUUUUUCCACUAUGUCUCUAAUUAAGAAAUUAAAGAAACUUCAACUAUUCCGCCUCUUCCUUUGCAGUUUAUUUUCUUUCCUCCAAGGUAUCCAAAAUUAGCCUAGUAUCUUAUUUCCUAGAGGUGACUCAGAUCCCGAGCUUGGCAGUCAUUUCCAGGGAUAAUUACGGAGAUGCUGAGAGAAGCGUGGCCCGCUUGCCCUCCUGGAGGGCACAGUAGGCAGCCUAUUCCUAUUCGUGCCACCAUGCUGAAUAAUGACGUUUUCAGUGUUUCAGUCAAUCUGUCAUGCUCAGAUGUAUAUUGUAAGGUUUGAUAGUGAUCUGUUUAAAAAAAAAUAAAAUAUAAACCACGAACUUAAUCUAUUGAUUUCUGUAUGCAGCUUUUUGAAAUGUACGACUGAAGCUGACUCCAAGACCCCUAUGUUGCAGCUCCCUUGAACAACUUUAAGGAAGCGGUUUAGCAGUUUUGUAAGUUGAUAACUGUAGCUAUUGCAUCAAUUUUUGCCGUACUUCGUUAAGAUAAAAGUGCAAAUGUAGGUUUCAGUGGGGACAGACCGUUAGAAUGUAUAUGUGAAGUAAUCUACACACUUUGUUCCUCAAUGCCAAUUUUAUACUAGUAUCUGAAUGUAUAUACCUGAAAAAAGUUUAUAUACAUGGAAAAAUACAAUCUUAGCAGCAUGUAGAUAGAGUCACUGGACUUCUUCAGAAAGUUGGAAGAGCUCUAAAACAAUUUUUGAGAGAAGGAACAGGCCCUUGUUUCCUGGAGCCAAGAGGUGAGCAGCCCCAGACGUUCAGAAACGAGAAGGAAACUUGUCGCUGCAGCCCUUCUGCAUGUUUGUGUGUUUCUACAAAAUGAGCCUGUGUGUUGUGACACAAAGGGCAGGAGAAUGGAGAGAGGAAAAUAAAUAAAAAGGGGAGUGGAAUCCUGUUAGAAGGAAAUUUGCUAAUCACCCUGUGUAGUUUAAAGGAUAACAUAAGCAGCAUUCAGGCCACUCGCCAGCCAAGGAGUUGAACAGCCAUGUACCUGUGUCUGACAGAAGGAUGUGUUUUAAAUACAAUCAUAAAAAUAGAAUUAAGCAUCUAAGUCUAAAAUCACUAAACAGGUUUUGUCUGAACUAUUUGCAUGUGUCACUGUAAAAAAAAAAAAAAAGCAAGCAAAACCAAACAAAUUAAAAACCACUUCAGCAUAGGCAGGUGGAUAGGAAAUGCCACAUGCAGGGUGAGAUGGUAAUCUGACCACAGGCGGCACCAGAGGCUGGAAGAAAUCGGUGGUGGAGUGUGCAGGAAAUCUCUUCUGGGGUGGAAAAUGUGAUCUAUUUCCAAAUAAGUCAUGUUUGAAGCAUUAAACAUUAAAUCACAUUUAAUGCUCCUUCUCAAACUUUUGUUUUGGGCAGCACCUACUCCAGUUCACUGCUUCAACAUGAUAAAUACCUCCCCAAAUCCCACCUCGUCGUUUUGUUUUACUUGCAAUUUGUUUAUAAACCUGUUGUUUCCUAGAGGUGGUCUUAACUUCUAAGAAAGAAGACAGUACAUAACGGAGGGUGAAAUAGGAUUCUAUUAAAUUUAGAUAUUUACUCCAGUUUAGAAAUUAAUUUUUGCAUCAUCCUGAUAAACAAAUAGAAGCCAAAACUAUUUCUUAGAAACAUAAGCAUGUGUUUCUGGGAUGAACUGCAUUAGCAUGCUGCAUUCCCCCAUUCCACAGCUACAGGCAAGCAAACUUUUAAGAUCUGCAACGCUUCUGUGUGUCGUGCUUCAGGUUUUCCUUUUCUAUUUGAAGAUGCAAGGCUGAAGGUUCGAUAAAGCAAAUAAAACUUCUUAUAUGCUUAUCUGACCUCUGCACACAUUCCAGAGUCGGUUUUGAAGUUCUAUCAUGAUGCUAUCAUGAUGAGUUCUGAUAUCUUUUUUUAAUCUGUUUCCACACUCAACAUUGCAGAGCUUCGUACAAACCCUUUGAUGUAGGGCAUGUUCCACAGAAAGCAUCAGUGAUCAUUGUCCCUGUCAACACCCCAGGGACCGAGUGGGAUUUCGUAGUGCUGGAAGGAAUCUCACAGCUUUGGAUACAAUCUAACUUACCUGGAAAGGAUGCCAGCGUUGCAAGAUUAGAAAAAAAGUUGCAUAAAAAUGCAAGUCUUCAGUUCUGCAUUAUCUUUGGCUUUAUUUUUCUUAGAUGUUUGCAGUGUCACUGGAAUACUGAUUUAUUGUGAAGAACCUCUCAAAUAAGCCUUUCAAGUAGGUGGAGUGCAUCCUGUGACCAGUAGGGGUUGCACUGGUUGGAUUGUCAGUGGUGAAACAGGAGAUCUUCCAGUUUGAAGGCAGAUUCGCUGACUUAAUGGCAUGCAGAGCUUGGAGCUGGGAGAGCAGGUCGUGCUAUGCUAAUGUAUUCUCCCAGCAUGAAACAUUAGCAUCAGAUGAGUCAAGAAAUCUCUUCUGAGAUCAAAAUUUUAAUUAUCAUCAUUGGACUAGAAAAUCUAUUCUAGAAGGGAUUACUUGCCUAAUAGAAAUGUUUUUCUCCGAACAGGAAAGCUAUUUGCAUGGGUUCACAACUUAAAUGGCUUUCUUUGCAGUGACAAGAACUGGAGAUGUAACUGUAUUUCUGUAACAAGUCUGUGUUCUACAGCCCUUCAUAGUGUUACCAGAGAAGUGCUGGUGUGGUAGGCCGUGCUCUGCCGCUUCAGUUCAACUCUGCCCCAGUCCGAGACAAAAUAACAUUGAACGUUGCCAAGACUACUGAAAUCUGCUGGUUUUAAACCAAAGAUGGUAUUACUGUGAGCUCAGAGAAGGAUUGCAGAAUUACUCAAGAAACAGUAACACUGCACUUAGUGAAACUCCUGCCAUUGUGUAUAUUUAAGUUCCAGUAUGUUCUUAAUUUUUCAGUAUGUAAGAUGGGUGUUGGGGUGCUCGGGACUCUUUUGGGUAUGCUUCAGACAGACCAAAAUGCCAAAGUAACACAGCUGCGGAGUCGCUGAUAAUGUAAAACCAGAAAUACUUUCUUUUGUGUGUGUUAUAAUGGCUUAUUUUUUCUAAUAGUUUAACUGCUUAGAGAUGCAAAGCCAAGUGAGCUAACUACGACUGUUAAAUAAACUUGCUUUCAUCAGA